GUGGGGAAUAUUGGACAAUGGGGGGAACCCUGAUCCAGCCAUGCCGCGUGUGUGAAGAAGGCCUUAUGGUUGUAAAGCACUUUAAGCGAGGAGGAGGCUACUAGUAUUAAUACUACUGGAUAGUGGACGUUACUCGCAGAAUAAGCACCGGCUAACUCUGUGCCAGCAGCCGCGGUAAUACAGAGGGUGCGAGCGUUAAUCGGAUUUACUGGGCGUAAAGCGUGCGUAGGCGGCCAUUUAAGUCAAAUGUGAAAUCCCCGAGCUUAACUUGGGAAUUGCAUUCGAUACUGGAUGGCUAGAGUAUGGGAGAGGAUGGUAGAAUUCCAGGUGUAGCGGUGAAAUGCGUAGAGAUCUGGAGGAAUACCGAUGGCGAAGGCAGCCAUCUGGCCUAAUACUGACGCUGAGGUACGAAAGCAUGGGGAGCAAACAGGAUUAGAUACCCGAGUAGUCC
rnacentral:rRNA from 1 species